rnacentral:misc_RNA from 1 species
ACCCCUUUGUUGAAAAAAUUUGUUUGAGGAUCCAUAAUUGUAAGAAUUUAAUUGCUGAAUCUUUUGAAGGACUUCUUCCACGGGUGGUGGAGGUCCAGGCAAUUUUGCAUGCCUAUACCGACAAUCAGGACCAUUUGGACAAAACCCUAGCUUGUACAUAUUGCACUCCUUGAUAUCCUCAUUGGUGUGCUUGUACACGCAGUCCUGCUCCC